rfam:Japanese encephalitis virus strain JKT6468 polyprotein gene, complete cds.
AUGACUAAAAAACCACGAGGGCCCGGUAUAAACCGGGCUAUCUAUAUG